UAAAAUGGGAAAUGACACUUAGGUCAAAGGUGGCCAUGCACAAGUGGCCAUGCAUUGACGCACAAAUGGAAAGGUGAUGAGGGAAAACCAAGUAAGAAUGCAGUCUGGAGUGCCACUACACCUGCUCUGUCAACAACCCAUCUUCAAAUGAAUCACAUGAUCUUUUUGUAUGGGCUGGCCAUCCAUAUGCUGCACCACCAACUGA
rnacentral:lncRNA from 1 species